AGCAACAGACGAAGGAAGUGGUUCCCAUAACUCCGAGAAGAGGUUUCAACUGGCCCUCUUUUUCUUGCUCCUUGGAAUGUCGUUCUAAGGGAAGACUUGGGUCCAUCCAGAAUGCAGAUGAAAGCAUCCAGAGGACUACGAGUUCUGGUACAUUGAAAUUUUGCUGUGUCGUUUCUGAGCAGAGAUGUGCUGAAGCUUACUUGCCUCAAACAAGAAAAAUCUAGUUGUUGGAAGACUGACUCCAAAGAAAGAAGACUUGGAUGAAGAGAAUAUUGGACAAGGACCUAGUAUACAUGUGAAAGCUGUAUUUGUUUGAUGUUUAUUAUUGAGAAAUACCUUCUUGGGGAAGAAAAGGCCAGUCUUUGGUUUGUUCUUCUCUUUUGAUGGGAGUCAACUCUUCUAUUCGACUUCAAGAAUGUAUUUUGGGAGCCUGGUAUUCCCAGUUGCCUGUCACCCUCCCAGUAUUCAAGUACAACCACUUCCACCUGGUGCCCUUCCACCAGCUUCCUAGGAUAAUUCUAGAAAAGUCUCACACCAAGCCUUGCCCAUAGCAGGAUUAGAGUUCCUGGGACUAAGAGAAGCAGAUCCUCAGAAACGAAAGAUUAUUUGCCUUUUAUAACUAGAAAGACAAGACGCAUUAUACAGUUCUUGAAAGUCACGAAGCUAGUAAUGAAAAUGUUAAGGGGCAUUGCAACAUAGUAUGAUUUGGAAUGGAUGGAAAAUAUGCCUCUCCGACUUCCCUGGUGGCUCAGCGGAUAAGAAUCUGUCUGCAAAUGCAGGGGACAUGGGUUCGAGCCCUGGUUAGGGAAGAUCCCACAUGCCGCGGAGCAACUAAGCCCGUAUGCCACAACUACUGAGCCUGCGCUCUAGAGCCUGUGAGCCACGACUACUGAGCCCGCGUGCCGCACCUACUGAAGCCUGCUCACCUAGAGCCCGUGCUCCACAACAAGAGAAGCCAUCGCAAUGAGAAGCCCGCGCACCGCAACGAAGAGUAGCCCCUGCUCGCCACAACUAGAGAAAGCCCGCGUGCAACAACAAAGACCCAAC